UGGGGAAUAUUGCACAAUGGGGGAAACCCUGAUGCAGCGACGCCGCGUGAGCGAAGAAGGCUUUCGAGUCGUAAAGCUCUGUCCUAUGAGAAGAUAAUGACGGUAUCAUAGGAGGAAGCCACGGCUAACUACGUGCCAGCAGCCGCGGUAAUACGUAGGUGGCAAGCGUUGUCCGGAAUUAUUGGGCGUAAAGCGCGCGCAGGUGGUUUAGAAAGUCUGAUGUGAAAGCCCACGGCUCAACCGUGGAGGGUCAUUGGAAACUAAUAAACUUGAGUGCAGGAGAGAAAAGUGGAAUUCCUAGUGUAGCGGUGAAAUGCGUAGAGAUUAGGAGGAACACCGGUGGCGAAAGCGGCUUUUUGGCCUGCAACUGACACUGAGGCGCGAAAGCGUGGGGAGCAAACAGG
rnacentral:rRNA from 1 species